CUCCUCUCCUCUGGCUGUUUUCUCUCUUCUGGAACGAUAGGCGGGGCAGCUCUGGAAGGUCUGAUGUCCCGCAGGUAACCGAUCUGCAGCCAUCUUGAGACGGAGGGUCAUCGAUUGGAGGAGCGGAGAAGGGGAAAUCUUUCGGUCUCUUUGAUUCAAGAUUCCUCUGAGCUUCUUUUUAUUCUUAUCUUUCUUCUUUUUCUCCUUUUUACUCCUCUCCAUUCUCUUUAGUCUUUUCUUUUCUUUUGUUUCCUAUAAGGAGGCUGUGAUGACUCCGGGCAGAGAUUUUGCGGGCAAGGCGAUCUUGGAUGGCCUGCUGCUGUUUAGCAGGCAACCGUUCGCAGCGGAUUUGGUUUAGUUCUCUUCAGUCUUUUCUUUUCUUUUCUUUUCUAUUGCUUUAUAAGGAGGCUGUGAUGACUCCGGGCAGAGAGUUUGCGGACAAGGCGAUCUUGGAUGGCCUGCUGCUGUUUAGCAGGUAACCGUUCGCAGCCGAUUUGGUUUAGUUGUAGAGGAUACCGACAGUAACGUUGCAAUGCAGGAUUUAAUGGUGAAUCUGAGCCUCCUUUUUUCUUUUAAUUUCUUCACAUUUCUAAUUUCUGUUCUUUUUCUUUCCCAAGAUUCUAUUUUUCAACUCUUCUUUAUCAUACUUUGGAUGGAUUUUGGAGGCUGAUGAACGAUCAGGGACAGGACCGCAUCAACAUUAGCUAGGGUUCUGAGAUACCCCCAAACCCGAAAUAUCUUUUUUGAAGAAAUCGUUUUUUAAAAUCAGGGAAUAUUUGCUUGCAAAAUGUUCUUGAUCUUGGUUCAAUUAUUUUCUUCUUUUAUUUUAUUUUAUUUUAUUUUUUACUUUAGUUAUUUUUAACCCAUGUAACAGGAGUUUUGAUCUUGUGUUGGCUUCCUUUUUCUUCCAUUAGUUUGUAGUCUUUUCCUUUUCUUUUGAGCGUCAAUAUGAUGAAAGAGAACCAGAAAAUUCUAUUUCUUUGGCGUCGCUCUUCUACUUUGGCUUGCUCAGGGGCUGACUGGGCUUUGUGAUAACUUCGUGUUGCAUCAUUUUUUCAAGCCUGUAUGAAGGAGUUCCAGGAACCUUUAGAAAUCUUUCUGGAGUUGGUAUUGGGAUCUAUGGGACAAGGACCGAUUCUGCUACAAAGUGGAAACAACGAGGUCUUGUACCUCUAUCUUUAACACACUGGGCAAAGCUUGGAUGUUCUGCUGUUUCUCACACAACCAGUUGCAGCUGUUUGCAGAUAGUCAAAGACUUGAAGAAUGCCUGAAAAACUGAAUUUUAUCUGAUAUGGUGGUGUCUGAAGGAUUGGAGGGAUAGAUAAGCGACUAAAACCUUUUUACUUCUAGUAUAUUUUAAACUCUCUUUAAAUUUUGGCUGCUGAAUCAUAAUAAGAAAGUGAAAACUGACUAUUGGUCUGAUGAAACAUCAAAGUUCAACUCCUGAAGUGUCUUGAUGCACUGUUGAUCUAAAUAAAUAGCUAGUGUGGGAUAUCUUCCUGUCUUUCUCUUGACUCAUCCUUUUUACCAGAGUUAUUUCUCUUUGCAGGUCGCAGAGGUUUUGGUCUUGUCUGAGUUCCCUUUUUCCCUUUUUUUUUCUAUUUUUUUUCCUCUCUUUAUCACUACUACUUUUCCCAUGUUAAAAGCUAUAACAUUAUAAAACCUCAAAUCUAUUAAUGUUGUUCCUAACCUCUUCAAUACAACUCUUUAUUGUUGAAGAAUUCUUAUUUUUUAUAUUUGUUUAUCUUCUUACUUAUAUCUGCAGAAGUGGUGAGAAUUUGCUUGCUGCUGAACCAAAUCCCCUGAGUUUCUCAAGCAGGUGCAUCAUGGCUUCGGCAUAAGUUUCUAUACCACCUGAAUGGAAUAGAUAUCUAGUGAAUUUCUAAUCGAUUCUUUAGUUCCAGGAAGAGAUGGAAAAAAGACUAAUAAGAAGAUUAUUAAUUAAUAUAAUGAGGUACGGCAAUGGCUUUCUUCUAUAAAACAUUAACAUCCUCUCCCAAUCCACUUUUAUUUGAAUUUGUUUUAUAAAACAGAUUGCGGUCAUAAAAUAACUAAACAAAAUUGCUGAAGCCAAAUUCCUGGAUCUUUUGCAACAUUUAUUCUAGCUUGCCUCUGUUCAAAAAUAACUGAAGUAAUUUAUCAUGGUGUAAUAAGGCGAUGAUGGGAAGCAUGCAAGUGUUGUUCCCAUUUGUUGGCUUAGCAAUGUCAUUAAGAUCAAGCCC